rnacentral:rRNA from 1 species
GACGAACGCUGGCGGCGUGCUUAACACAUGCAAGUCGAACGGAAAGGCCCUGCUUUUGUGGGGUGCUCGAGUGGCGAACGGGUGAGUAACACGUGAGUAACCUGCCCUUGACUUUGGGAUAACUUCAGGAAACUGGGGCUAAUACCGGAUAGGAGCUCCUGCUGCAUGGUGGGGGUUGGAAAGUUUCGGCGGUUGGGGAUGGACUCGCGGCUUAUCAGCUUGUUGGUGGGGUAGUGGCUUACCAAGGCUUUGACGGGUAGCCGGCCUGAGAGGGUGACCAGGCACCUUGGGACUGAGAGAAGGACCAGACUCCUAAGGGGGGCAAGAGGGGGGAAUAUUGCCCAACGGGGGGAAGCCUGAUGCAGCAACCCCGGGUGCGGGAUGAAGGCCUUCGGGUUGUAAACCGCUUUCGCCUGUGACGAAGCGUGAGUGACGGUAAUGGGUAAAGAAGCACCGGCUAACUACGUG